rnacentral:rRNA from 1 species
GAUGAACGCUGGCGGCGUGCCUAAUACAUGCAAGUCGAGCGAACGGACGAGAAGCUUGCUUCUCUGAUGUUAGCGGCGGACGGGUGAGUAACACGUGGAUAACCUACCUAUAAGACUGGGAUAACUUCGGGAAACCGGAGCUAAUACCGGAUAAUAUUUUGAACCGCAUGGUUCAAAAGUGAAAGACGGUCUUGCUGUCACUUAUAGAUGGAUCCGCGCUGCAUUAGCUAGUUGGUAAGGUAACGGCUUACCAAGGCAACGAUGCAUAGCCGACCUGAGAGGGUGAUCGGCCACACUGGAACUGAGACACGGUCCAGACUCCUACGGGAGGCAGCAGUAGGGAAUCUUCCGCAAUGGGCGAAAGCCUGACGGAGCAACGCCGCGUGAGUGAUGAAGGUCUUCGGAUCGUAAAACUCUGUCAUUAGGGAAGAACAUAUGUGUAAGUAACUGUGCACAUCUUGACGGUACCUAAUCAGGAAGCCACGGCUAACUACGUGCCAGCAGCCGCGGUAAUACGUAGGUGGCAAGCGUUAUCCGGAAUUUAUUUGGGCGUAAGCGCGCGUAGGCGGUUUUUUAGUCUGAUGUGAAAGCCCACGGCUCAACCGUGGAGGGUCAUUGGAAACUGGAAAACUUGAGUGCAGAAGAGGAAAGUGGAAUUCCAUGUGUAGCGGUGAAAUGCGCAGAGAUAUGGAGGAACACCAGUGGCGAAGGCGACUUUCUGGUCUGUAACUGACGCCGAUGUGCGAAAGCGUGGGGAUCAAACAGGAUUAGAUACCCUGGUAGUCCACGCCGUAAACGAUGAGUGCUAAGUGUUAGGGGGUUUCCGCCCCUUAGUGCUGCAGCUAACGCAUUAAGCACUCCGCCUGGGGAGUACGACCGCAAGGUUGAAACUCAAAGGAAUUGACGGGGACCCGCACAAGCGGUGGAGCAUGUGGUUUAAUUCGAAGCAACGCGAAGAACCUUACCAAAUCUUGACAUCCUUUGACAACUCUAGAGAUAGAGCCUUCCCCUUCGGGGGACAAAGUGACAGGUGGUGCAUGGUUGUCGUCAGCUCGUGUCGUGAGAUGUUGGGUUAAGUCCCGCAACGAGCGCAACCCUUAAGCUUAGUUGCCAUCAUUAAGUUGGGCACUCUAAGUUGACUGCCGGUGACAAACCGGAGGAAGGUGGGGAUGACGUCAAAUCAUCAUGCCCCUUAUGAUUUGGGCUACACACGUGCUACAAUGGACAAUACAAAGGGCAGCGAAACCGCGAGGUCAAGCAAAUCCCAUAAAGUUGUUCUCAGUUCGGAUUGUAGUCUGCAACUCGACUACAUGAAGCUGGAAUCGCUAGUAAUCGUAGAUCAGCAUGCUACGGUGAAUACGUUCCCGGGUCU